GUCAAUGCCAAUGAUUUGAAGAGAGACAAUGUUUGAGGGUUAAAAAAAAAAAAAAAAGAGGGAAAUAAAGAAAGAAAACAGACAAGGUCAUCGGAUGGAAAGAUCAGAAUUACAAACAUUCCCGCGGCUAAGCGUGGGGCUAAUCCUAAAGUCUCAUUUCGCAAAACGGGAAGCAUGAAUUCAUAUCUCUCACUUGUCGCUAUCACCCAAGACUCCGACAUGCAUCGUUCGAUCUUUAUAUUUUGUUGGUAUUCGUAGGAAGCCCCAACGAUGGCAUUCAAAUCAAAACUACUAUGGUGCGCCAAGAUCCAGGAAACCUAAUUAUCCCAUCAUGUUGGCACAGAAGAACAAAGCAGGGCAACCUCUGCAAGUCUGGGAAAGGAAGAUUUAAAAGUGAACGGUAUUUAGGACACAAACGACAAACCGCCGUAGCCAAAAACUAAUUUAAGCAUCAGCUUUUGGGUUGUACAGUGGAAGUCAUGAUUAAGGUACUGUUCCCCAUACUGCUUGUUAA